GUCCGACGCCAAGAUUCCCGACGUGCAGGCGGGUUACGAGAAAAUGGCCACGGCCAUGCUGGCGGCCCUGGCCGGCGCCAACUUCAUCCAUGACGCGG
rnacentral:ncRNA from 1 species